UAUUUUGUGCCGGAUGAAACGGGCUUCAUUGAUGUUGAAGAAUAUAAGUUUUACUUCAAAAUAA
rnacentral:tRNA from 1 species